AGUGAUGUAAGGAGAGGCCGGACUUUAUAAAUUAUAAAAUGAUAGAGUAAUUUGUUACAUCCACAAAGCAAAAUAAAUGGCUCUAGUUUUCAAAUUCGUUUACGUUAUGAUUGUAUUUAAUUUCAUAUUUCUCGUUGCACCCAACAUUGAAGGUAAACUAUUUUAUGUUCUUUAUAAACUUCAUUAUUUAAUUUGUACACAAUAUUUUUUCAAAUAUUAUUUAAGUUUUUUAUUCUCUUUUUUACAGCGCUUGCACGCAUGAGAUGCUUAAAAGAUUCGGAUUGUUCAUUUUAUGUGUGUAGAAAGUCAUAUAAAGCAAUUUUUACUAAGCGCUUGCACGCAUGAGAUGCUUAAAAGAUUCGGAUUGUUCAUUUUAUGUGUGUAGAAAGUCAUAUAAAGCAAUUUUUACUGGUACACGAUGUAGAUGUGUUAAAAUCAUAGAUUAAGUUUGUGAGAGAUUUUGUAUUUCAUUUCAUACUUGAGAUUUGGCAUAAAUGUUCUGCUAAAAUCUUUCAUAAGUUGUCAUUUUAUAUUUAUUGUUUCAUGGUAAUAAAAUGAAGUGAGAUAGUGUCGCUCCCCAGGAUUUCCCGAAUCCAGGUACAAACGCGAAGAGAGUGGCGAGGAAGAAAAAGAAUAGAGUCGCCAGCUAUGUACUUUUAUCCCCAAGAGAAGGGAAAGGCAGUACUGCAUAACCUAGAGGGUACGGAUAAAACAAGUCUCGAACCAAAGAAAUCUGGGUAAGGGGGCCGGUUACGUGAAGGGGAGGUUAUCGCACCCCUUCACGUCUGUGGUACUCCACAGGAUCCACGAUUGCUAGUCUAUGUCUAAAGUGUCUAAAGUCCUAUAUGCAAUGCAAAAGAGAGAAAAUCAAAGUAGGGAAAACAAAGAGUUAUUGCUCGCACAGGCCCUACCCUGCUGCAUACGUAUCUCAAGAAGGAUUGAGAAUCAGAGCACCGUAGCUCAAAAGUAGGGAAAACAAAGAGUUAUUGCUCGCACAGGCCCUACCCUGCUGCAUACGUAUCUCAAGAAGGAUUGAGAAUCAGAGCACCGUAGCUCGGCUAAACUAUUUCUGUUUGUUUUGUGUUUUUUAAACGGACGAUGUUACUACACAAUCUACCGGAUGCUCGACCUUGGGAGACUUACUCACCUGUAGUAGAAGGAGUUAACGUGUCUUUAUGAAAAUAAAAUCAAAGAGUUUGUCUGUGUUUUAGGAUGCUCAUGCAAGAAAGGAAGUCCUAGACGAAGGAACCGUGCUACCUUAAUUGACAUGCAAACGAGAGACUAUACGAAGUCUAGCAAACCUAUGGGGAUACGAUCACACCACACAAGAGAGAACAAGAACUGGAUGUGGAAUGCCAAUCCAUGGGCUUAUAUCCAACUCCACAAGGCAAGACAGGAAACAGACAACCAAUCGCUGGUAUUACAUCUGACUCCUCAAACAAACAUAACAUGCAAGAUUCACAAAUAAGUAAACAAGCAAUCAAACAACACCUACUAUAUGAAAACAAAAGGCUCAUACAAGGCUAGGCUUUAGUCAAGGGGUCAUGUCAACCUCGACAAACAAGCCGGCUGUACAGGGUGUAGACAGAAGCUCUUAACCACUGACACUGAACGUCAGGGUGAGCAGAUGAAAUGGGAGAUGAGGGUAGGACCUCAUAGCUCUUAACCCGGGCCUGGGUAAGCUUCAAAUCAAUCAAAAAGGUGGGGGUUCAGAAUGAUGGAACCCUCUCCAUUGACUGACUCUAUAUACAAGAUUUUGGGUAUUUAUUCAAAAGCGUCAACACAUGGUGUGAGCAUGAUGAAAGACUCAAUUGAAUAGCAGGGGAUGGAUUGCACAUCCCUUCUAUCUGCCAAUUCCUCUUCACUUAGGAGGUCUUUGAAGUACAUGGCACAAAGAUAAACAGUCACAAACAUUGCCUCUUAAGGAGGGCUUCAGACAGGUGCCUGCCAAUAACAGCAGAUCUUCCAGACUACAUGAAGUUAGGAGAUGAUUACCUAUAUGGUAUGCCAACCAAGCAAAGCAACUCAAGCAAUGAGUUAAAGCUACUAAGUACCUGUAAGAAAAUCAAACAAAUCAAUAUUCACAUUCAGACAAACUAAACAGACAAUCAAUAGUGUUUACAACCAAGGUGUUCUCAAUGCAAAUCAACAACUCAAAUGAGUUCAUCACCAAGGAUCCUAUAAUCACAAAGGUUAGUGAACAAAACAAAUUUUGCAUCUCAAGUCAUGAGAUCAACCUAAACCAUUUGGAAUAGAAGCUUGAACCUGAAACAAAACUCAAAAGAUGAGUACAAACCACUAGCUCCAAGGCUAGGGUCAAAAAUAAAUCCAAAAGGCAAAACAGCAACCAAUAUUCAACAUGAAGCUCAUUUAUUCAAUCAUGAACAUGUCUCAAAAAGUGCCAAAUCAAAAUCAUCAAGCAAAGUCAUUUCAUGAGCAAGAUAUGGCAAAGACAAUCUCAAAGCACAUAAGUGGACAUUGAGAAUCAAAAUUCCAUAAUAAAACAGAAAUGACUCAAACAAUUCGGGAAAUUUUUAUGUGAUAUCAGCAUGUCAAACACAAUCAAUGUGCAAAAAAUUAGAAUCAACAGAGCUCAAUUGACAAGGCAAUAAAAAUGAAUAAGAUCAACAACAAAUUGUGUGACAUACAUUGUCACACCUAACAAUCAUGUGUCCCAAACAGAGAAGAAAAUUACUAAAAAUGCCAAAUAAAAUCUCACAAAUCCAGCAUCAUGUUAUGAAUCAUCAUGUAAAAUUUCAAAUCAUUUGGACAAGUAUUGAGCAUUUCACACCAAUUUGAAUAAGGCAUGGCACAAAUUCAUACAUGUUCAAUCAAUCCAACACAAUCAAAAAUCCAGAAGAGAUAAAAUCAUGAAAUCAAUCCACAAAAAUACUAGACAUCCAUAUGAUCAUGUAGGAAAAAACCUGGAAUUAUUAGGAUCAUUCUUCAAUUAGUUAUGAUUUUUUGAAGUUGCAUGAAUAAAAUGAAAUAAAAAUGAAAUAACAUGGAAAUAAUGUUGAUGAAUUAUGAAAAUGUGAAAUUGCCAAAGCCAGGAUUCGAAGCGAGGGAACGCUCGCUGCCUGAAACGACGUCGUUUCAGGUAAGGUAAUUAAAAUGAAAAAAAAUAAGGAAACGCUGGCGCUGGGAUUCGAAGGGAGAAACAUGGAUCAAUCAGUGCCUGCAGAGUGUUCUUCAUGCAUGAACCCUAGCACAGUAACUCACGGUGGCGCACGGUGGAAACCAUCGUCUUCUUCAUGAAGACGAUGGUGAACAGUAUGCAUCAUGACAAUUUUUUCCAGAUUUCGCAAUAUCAUACAUCAUUGGAACGCUCAUUCCAUGAGGAAUUCAAAUCCACCAUCCAUUUAGUCUAAUUCAUCCUAAAUCAAGAGGAUCGAAGAAGAACAUAUUUGACAUUUCAAUCUUUAAUUCACCAUAACUCCAUGAAUAUUGCACCAAAUUUCAUGUUCUUUAUACCAGUGGAAUCAACAAGCAAUGAACUACAAAUCUAUGGCAAUAAAAACACGAAUUAGGCUACUCGAAAAUCUGACCUCUUGAAGCUUCAACAAUGGCAGUGGUAGGUUCAAGGCUUGGCAAACAUUCAAAUUCACUCUUGUAUCACUGUUAUGAAGCUUGAAGUUGAAAUUGAGGCCUGAAGAUGCUUGGAUCUAGCUCAAUCAACAAUUUCCAUCUUCAUGUUCUUGCUUGGAGUAUGCACAAAUUCUGCUCGAAUUCAAUGAUCCAAUGCUUGAUCUACACUAAAUCAAUACCAGAGAAC
rnacentral:lncRNA from 1 species